rnacentral:misc_RNA from 1 species
GAGAGAGAGAGAGACAGAGAGAGGAGUGUCAUAUUCUGAAGUUGUUAAAUAGUUUUCAGAAAGUUCUUCAAGAGUUUCUCAUAUUCACAAAUUUGAAUCUCAAAAACAGAAUAAUGAAGCACAGAAGCCAACUUUAGAACAAACAUUAUUAGUUAGAUUAGCAUGGUAGCACAUAUCAGAUAUAUCUCCCUCAGAAGUAGUUCACAAC